GGACUGAUAGCUCAGCGGUAGAGCGUAGGAUUGCAGUUAUCUCAAUAAUCCCGAGGUCGCGUGUUCGAUUCACGCUCAGUCCU